rnacentral:tRNA from 1 species
GGGAGGAUGGCUCAGUGGUGGAGUGCUUGCCUUGCAUGCAUGAGGCUCUAGGUUCGAUUCCUCAGUACCA